rnacentral:lncRNA from 1 species
CUUGAAAUGGGCUGAGUCCCUCUUGCUCACCCUUGACUUGGAAAAACCAGUUUCUCUUUUAUUGUCUGUUACUAAUCUCUAUUCUAAAAAUUCAGCUCAAUUCUCAACCAUACUCCAAACUCUCUCUUUUCCAGCUACCUUUACUCCCUCUCCUUCAAUUCCACUUUCCUCUGCUUACUUUUUUUUUUUUUCUGACAGGGUCUCACUUUGUCGCCCGGGCAGGAGUGCAGUGGCUCAAUCUUGGGCUCACUGCAGCCUCAACCUCCCAGGUUCAAGCGAUUCUCCUGCCUCAGCCCCUCAAGUAGCUGGGACUACAAGCGCACACCACCACGCCUGACUAAUUUUUUGUAUUUUUUUGUAGAGGCGGGGUUUCACCAUGUUGCCCAGACUGGUCUUGAACUCCUGAGCUUAAGCAAUCCACCUGCCUCGGCCUCCCAAAGUGUUGGGAUCACAGGCGUGAGCCACCGCAUCCGGCCUCAUGUUCUUUUUCAUUAAAGAGAGAAAUCAACUAUUCAGGACCGGCCCCCACCUUUCCUCAGGAGUCAUUUCUGUUCCGCACAGGCCUGCUGAACUGGGUGCUUUAUAUAGGAUUUCAGUGGAGUGAAGUUCAGGAGGCAUGGAGCUGACAACCAUGAGGCCUCGGCAGCCACCGCCACCACCGCCGCCGCCACCACCGUAGCAGCAGCAGCAGCAGCAGCAGCAGCAGCAGCAGCAGCAAGAGUAACUCUGACUUAGGAAUAGAGACAGCCAGAGAGAAAUGUGAUCAAUGAAGGAGACAUCUGGAGUGUGCGUGCUUCUUCAGAGGGACGGGUGAUGGGCAGAUUGGAAAAAGCACCGCAGAUGGGAACCUUAAUCUUUCUUUUCUAAAAUUGAUGCUAUGAAAAUUUGCGUUUUCUGUAACUUGUAAAAACUAAAAGUUGCUUGUCUACUGAAAA